rnacentral:rRNA from 1 species
UACAGGGGGUGCAAACGUUGCUCGGAAUCAUUGGGCGUAAAGCGCACGUAGGCGGUCUGUUAUGUCGGAUGUGAAAGCCCUCGGCUCAACUGAGGAAGUGCAUCCGAAACUGGCAGGCUAGAGUACUAAAGAGGGUCGCGGAAUUCCCGGUGUAGAGGUGAAAUUCGUAGAUAUCGGGAGGAACACCAGUGGCGAAGGCGGCUUCCUGGCCUGUUCUUGACGCUGAGGCGCGAAAGCUAGGGGAGCAAACGGG